GCCGCCCCCAUGAGCCGCCUGUAGGGUCCGCGCUGCCGCACCCCUGCGCCCCAGGGGCUCGGGAUUGGUUAGUUUUGGGUUUCCCCCCCUUUUUUCUUUUUUUCCCCUUACAGUCUAUUUUUGUACACUUCGCUAUAAAACCAUGGUGCUGGGGAAGGUGAAGAGUCUGACGAUAAGCUUUGACUGUCUGAAUGACAGCAAUGUCCCCGUGUACUCUAGCGGGGAUACAGUCUCAGGAAGGGUCAGUCUAGAAGUAACUGGGGAAAUUAGAGUGAAAUCCCUUAAAAUACAUGCGAGGGGGCACGCUAAAGUGCGUUGGACUGAAUCGAGGAAUGCUGGAUCCAACACUGCCUAUACUCAGAACUACACGGAAGAAGUGGAAUAUUUCAACCAUAAAGACAUCCUGAUCGGCCAAGAGAGAGAUGAUGACAAUUCAGAAGAAGGCCUUCACACCAUCCAUUCGGGAAGGCAUGAAUAUGCAUUCAGCUUUGAGCUUCCACAAACACCACUUGCUACCUCAUUCGAAGGCAGACAUGGCAGUGUGCGCUAUUGGGUGAAAGCCGAAUUGCAUAGGCCUUGGUUUCUACCAGUAAAAUUAAAGAAGGAAUUUACAGUCUUUGAACAUAUAGAUAUCAACACUCCUUCAUUACUGUCACCCCAAGCAGGCACAAAAGAAAAAACUCUCUGUUGCUGGUUUUGUACCUCAGGCCCAAUAUCCUUAAGUGCCAAAAUUGAAAGGAAGGGCUACACCCCAGGUGAAUCAAUUCAGAUCUUUGCUGAGAUUGAGAACUGCUCUUCCCGUGUGGUGGUGCCAAAGGCAGCCAUUUACCAAACACAGGCAUUUUAUGCCAAAGGGAAAAUGAAAGAAGUCAAACAGCUUGUUGCCAACCUGCGUGGGGAGUCCUUGUCAUCUGGCAAAACAGAAACCUGGAAUGGCAAACAGUUGAAAAUUCCACCUGUUUCUCCUUCAAUCCUUGACUGUAGUAUAAUCCGUGUGGAGUAUUCACUGAUGGUAUAUGUGGAUAUUCCUGGCGCCAUGGAUUUAUUUCUUAACUUACCACUGGUCAUUGGCACCAUUCCUCUACACCCAUUUGGUAGCAGAACUUCAAGUGUAAGCAGCCAGUGUAGCAUGAACAUGAAUUGGCUUGGUCUGACACUGCCCGAAAGACCAGAAGCACCUCCCAGCUAUGCAGAAGUGGUGACAGAGGAACAGCGACAGUCCAGCCUUGCACCCUUAGGUGUUUGUGAUGACUUUGAGAGAGCACUUCCAGGACCACUGUUUGCAUACAUCCAGGAGUUUCGUUUUCUGCCUCCACCCCUCUAUUCAGAAAUUGAUCCAAAUCCAGAUCAACCCACAGACGACAGACCAUCUUGCCCUUCUCGUUGAAGGAAUCCAUGAGAAGCUGACUUGGGUUUGGAUCAUACCUCCUGCAUUAAAGGUCAAGGCAUCAUAGUGGAGAGCACACUUUCGAAGAAACCUGGACUUUACCUGCAUAUGCACAUGCUCAGAAUUGUCCUUGUAGGCUGAUCAUGUAUCACCUCUUCAGCUUGGAUCCUAUUGUGGAUUUAUUUACAAACAUCAAAUGCCUUCAAGCCAAUCCUUCUUGCUGUAUGUUUUGCAGCCUACUGUAGUAGAUAAGCAACAGA